rnacentral:rRNA from 1 species
UACGGAGGGUGCAAGCGUUAUCCGGAUUUACUGGGUUUAAAGGGUGCGCAGGCGGCUAUGUAAGUCAGUGGUGAAAUCUCCGGGCUUAACCCGGAAACUGCCGUUGAUACUAUAUAUCUUGAAUGCCGUGGAGGUAAGCGGAAUAUGUCAUGUAGCGGUGAAAUGCUUAGAUAUGACAUAGAACACCUAUUGCGAAGGCAGCUUACUACACGGAGAUUGACGCUCAUGCACGAAAGCGUGGGGAUCAAACAGG